rnacentral:rRNA from 1 species
AGUUUGAUCCUGGCUCAGGAUGAACGCUGGCGGCAUGCCUAAUACAUGCAAGUCGAACGAGAGGAAGGAAAGCUUGCUUUUCUGAAUCUAGUGGCGAACGGGUGAGUAACACGUAGGUAACCUGCCCAUGUGCCCGGGAUAACUUCUGGAAACGGAUGCUAAAACCGGAUAGGUAGCAGACAAGCAUUUGACUGCUAUUAAAGUGGCUAAGGCCAUGAACAUGGAUGGACCUGCGGUGCAUUAGCUAGUUGGUGAGGUAACGGCCCACCAAGGCGACGAUGCAUAGCCGGCCUGAGAGGGCGGACGGCCACAUUGGGACUGAGACACGGCCCAAACUCCUACGGGAGGCAGCAGUAGGGAAUUUUCGUCAAUGGGGGGAACCCUGAACGAGCAAUGCCGCGUGAGUGAGGAAGGUCUUCGGAUCGUAAAGCUCUGUUGUAAGAGAAAAACGACAUUCAUAGGGAAUGAUGAGUGAGUGAUGGUAUCUUACCAGAAAGUCACGGCUAACUACGUGCCAGCAGCCGCGGUAAUACGUAGGUGGCGAGCGUUAUCCGAAAUGAUUGGGCGUAAAGGGUGCGUAGGUGGCAGAACAAGUCUGGAGUAAAAGGUAUGGGCUCAACCCGUACUGGCUCUGGAAACUGUUCAGCUAGAGAACAGAAGAGGACGGCGGAACUCCAUGUGUAGCGGUAAAAUGCGUAGAUAUAUGGAAGAACACCGGUGGCGAAGGCGGCCGUCUGGUCUGUUGCUGACACUGAAGCACGAAAGCGUGGGGAGCAAAUAGGAUUAGAUACCCUAGUAGUCCACGCCGUAAACGAUGAGAACUAGGUGUUGGGGGAAUAACUCAGUGCCGCAGUUAACGCAAUAAGUUCUCCGCCUGGGGAGUAUGCACGCAAGUGUGAAACUCAAAGGAAUUGACG